rnacentral:lncRNA from 1 species
AGCUAAAUGAGGUCAAAAGAGUGGAGCUCUGACCCAAAGCAAGGAAGCUUUCACUUCCUCUCUCCCUUUAGACACAGCAAGAAGCGGCUGUCUAUAAACCAGAAAGAGAGCCUUCAUGAGAAACUGAAUCCACUAGCACCUUGAUCUUGUCUCUAGAAUUAUAAGAAACAAUACCCAAUCUGUGGUAUUUUGUUAUACAAGGUUGGGCAGACUUGUACAAUAUUCAUUUAGCAAAACUUACUGUGAACUUGGUAGGUAUCACAGCCAACGUCAAGGGAUACUUUUUCUUUAAAAAAAUAGAGAAAUUCACAUACUUCAAUCAUGUGAUUUUGAAAAGAUCUCAGGUAUUUUAUAAAAAUAAGAAAAAUAAUAAAAUCAUAUUGAAGACAUUAAAAUACCAGUAACGUGGUAUGAGACCCAUGUGGCUAAAAAAGCCCCAAUUAAUAUAUAUAAAUAUAUACCAAGAAAAACUGUUUUGCUUAUGUUUUUUUUAAUGUUCAUAUAAUGAACAUUGUAUUUAAAGUAAUUUUAAUAUAGGUGGAUAUAUUCUAUGUUGAUUAAAAAAUAUUAUUUUUCAAAAAUAGUUUUGACCAGAACUAUUUUAUAGUUCCACUAACAAAUAAAAAUCAGUACAUUAAUUAAUUGUUUAAAAUUUCAAAAUAUCAUUUAGAUUUAUUACCACUCUUAACACCUUGUUUCUCUCUUAAAACUGUUCUAGGUUGGACCAUAUAUUAUGGGAGCACCUUUUGCAAGGAUGAAAUAUUCAGUCUGGGUAAUUGUACUAAACUCUUCCACAAUAAUUGUGAUCUCAUCUUGGGAUUUACCAAAAAACAUUUAUAGCAUGCCUGAGAAGUCCAGAGAUCUGACAUGGAUUAAAUAUAAACAAAAAUGA